rnacentral:sRNA from 1 species
CUUGUAAACGUCAUGGUCUUUACUAGGCCGAAACUGGUGUCGAUCGACACCAGGAGUGUGUAGAUGGACACUCUCUCUGAAUAUGGAACUGAAAUCAUCCUUAGCUUCCUUCUCCUUAGCUUUUGCUCCAAAAUGUCUCCUCAUUUCCAUUGUUGUCCCUCCUCAUAGAAUACCUGAAAAGACUCUAAAAAGACUCGAGAAAUAACUAAAAGACUCAAAAUCCUAAAUCUAAAACAUAGAUAAAUCAGUAAAAACAGUGUUAUAUCAGUAAUUCUACCAUGGGCACGUGUCGCUGCUCGAGAUCUGUAAUGACGAGAGUUUCCUUUUUGUCUUUAAUGCUCCACUCCGAGAUGCAUUCGACUGGAAUGAU